rnacentral:rRNA from 1 species
UACGUAGGGUGCGAGCGUUAAUCGGAAUUACUGGGCGUAAAGCGUGCGCAGGCGGUUUUUGUAAGUCAGAUGUGAAAAUCCCCGGGCGUCAACCUGGGAACGUGCAUUUGUAGACUGCAAAGCUAGAGUGUGGCAGAGGGGGGUGGGAAUUCCACGUGUAGCAGUGAAAUGCGUAGAGAUGUGGAGGAACACCAAUGGCGAAGGCAGCCCCCUGGG